rnacentral:rRNA from 1 species
UCCGGGGAUAACAGGCUGAUCUCCCCCAAGAGUUCAUAUCGACGGGGAGGUUUGGCACCUCGAUGUCGGCUCAUCGCAUCCUGGGGCUGAAGGCGGUCCCAAGGGUUUGGCUGUUCGCCAAUUAAAGCGGUACGUGAGCUGGGUUUAGACCGUCGUGAGACAGGUCGGUCCCUAUCUGGUGUGGGUGUAGGAUGAUUGAGGAGGUUUUCCCCUAGUACGAGAGGAUUGGGGAGGACGAACCGCUGGUGCUCCAGUUAUCACGCUAGUGGUACAGCUGGGUAGCUAAGUUCGGAACGGAUAAGCGCUGAAUGCAUCUAAGCGCGAAGCCUUCUCCAAGACGAGUCAUCCCUUAGAGUCCCCUGGGAGACUACCAGGUUGAUAGGCAGGCGGUGUAAGCACAGCAAUGUGUUCAGCUUACCUGUACUAAUCGGACCAUCGGCUUAAACAC